UGGGGAAUAUUGCGCAAUGGGGGCAACCCUGACGCAGCCAUGCCGCGUGAAUGAAGAAGGCCUUCGGGUUGUAAAGUUCUUUCGGUGACGAGGAAGGUUGUUGUGUUAAUAGCGCAACAAAUUGACGUUAAUCACAGAAGAAGCACCGGCUAACUCCGUGCCAGCAGCCGCGGUAAUACGGAGGGUGCGAGCGUUAAUCGGAAUAACUGGGCGUAAAGGGCCCGCAGGCGGCUAUUUAAGUGAGGUGUGAAAUCCCCGGGCUUAACCUGGGAAUUGCAUUUCAGACUGGGUAGCUAGAGUACUUUAGGGAGGGGUAGAAUUCCACGUGUAGCGGUGAAAUGCGUAGAGAUGUGGAGGAAUACCGAAGGCGAAGGCAGCCCCUUGGGAAUGUACUGACGCUCAUGUGCGAAAGCGUGGGGAGCAAACAGGAUUAGAUACCCUGGUAGUCCACGCUGUAAACGCUGUCGAUUUGGGGAUUGGGCUUUAAGCUUGGUGCCCGUAGCUAACGUGAUAAAUCGACCGCCUGGGGAGUACGGCCGCAAGGUUA
rnacentral:rRNA from 1 species